rnacentral:rRNA from 1 species
AUGAAGAAGAUGGAAAUGGAGGCUUCCGUCUUGGCAGCUCUUGCGGCAGUAAUCGUUGCUUUCAUCUUGUUGGUAUUGCCACACCUGAGAAAGCAGAGCUUAUCUCAAGACAAUCGGCGCCGCCAGCUGCCUCCGGGCUCCUUCGGGCUUCCCGUCGUCGGCCAGACGGUCGGCCUACUGCGCGCCCUCCGCGCCAACACCGGCGAGGCAUGGCUCCGGCGCUGGGCAUCCGACACCGCGCUCACCGCCAAGAGCUCCACCUCCUUCAACAGUAUGGUCGGCAGGCGCAACAUCCAGGAGCUGGUCGGCGACGACCACCGCCGCGUAAGGGCCAUGAUGGUCCAGUUCCUCAAGCUGGACAUCGUGAGGAGCUACGUCGCCAGCAUGGACGACGAGGUCCGGCACCACCUCCGCGCCCACUGGGACGGCCGCACGAGCAUCGCGGUGAUGCCGUCGAUGAAGUCGCUCACCUUCGACAUCAUGUGCACCGUCAUCUUCGGGCUCGGGAGAGCUGACCACGCCGCCGUGAGGCGGGAGCUCUCGGCGGAGUUCCAGCAGCUGGUGAGGGGCAUCUGGGCGAUCCCGGUGAACCUGCCUUUCACCUCCUUCGGCAAGUGCCUCGCCGCGAGCCGGCGAGGCCGGCGAACCGUCGGGGCAAUCAUCAAGGAGAAGCGCGCCAAGCUGGAGAGCGGGCAUAGCUCGCCGUCCGACGACCUCAUGACCCACAUGCUCGCGGAGGGGCUGGCCGACGAGGAGAUCAUCGACAACGUCAUGUUCAUGAUGGUAGCGGCGCACGACACCACCGCCAGCCUCCUUACCUUCAUCCUCCGGCACCUCGAUGGCAACCGGGACGCCUACGGCAGAGUCGUGGCAGAGCAACAAAAGGUCGCCAGGAGCAAGGCUCCGGGGGAAGCUCUGUCAUGGGACGACCUCGGCAAGAUGAAGUACACAUGGUCGGCGGCGAUGGAGACCCUGCGCCUGGUACCUCCCGUGUUCUCCAUGCUCAAGAGGGCGGUCGAAGACGUGGAGUUUGACGGCCACCUCAUCCCCAAGGGAUGGCAGGUGUUGGGGGCGAUGAACCUGACGCAGCAGGACCCGGCCAUCUUCCCGGAGCCAAGCAGGUUCGAGCCGGCGAGGUUCGAGAGCCCGAUACCACCCUACAGCUUCGUGGCGUUCGGCGGCGGCGCGCGCUUGUGCCCGGGCAACGAGUUCACUAGGGUGGAGACGCUGGUGGCCAUGCACUACAUCGUCACCGGGUUCAAGUGGAAGCUCGCCGACGGCUGCGACGGCAGCUUCCCCAGGUACCCGAUGCCGUCCCCGGCUCAGGGGCUCCUCAUCAACAUCGAACCAAUAGACACAACCACCACAGUUGCAGCAGGCAUCAGCAAAUGA